AGCAGCCGCGGUAAUUCCAGCUCCAAUAGCGUAUAUUAAAGUUGUUGCAGUUAAAAAGCUCGUAGUUGAAUUUCGGGACCAAUAUGUCGGUCGUGCUUCGGUACGUACUUGCAUUAUUGGUUUCUCCCUUCUGACGAACCAUGAUGUCAUUAAUUUGGUGUCUUGGGGAAUCAGGAUUGUUACUUUGAAAAAAUUAGAGUGUUUAAAGCAGGCUCACGCUUGAAUACAUUAGCAUGGAAUAAUGAAAUAGGACGUUUGAUUCUAUUUUGUUGGUUUCUAGGAUCGACGUAAUGAUUAAUAGGGAUAGUUGGGGGCAUUAGUACUCAAUUGUCAGAGGUGGAAUUCUUGGAUUUAUUGAAGACUAACUACUGCGAAAGCAUUUGCCAAGGAUGUUUUCAUUAAUCAAGAACGAAAGUUAGGGGAUCGAAGACGAUCAGAUACCGUCGUAGUCUUAACCAUAAACUAUGCCGACUAGGGAUCGGAUGAUGUUAAUUUUUUAAUGACUCAUUCGGCGCCUUAAC
rnacentral:rRNA from 1 species